rnacentral:rRNA from 1 species
GUGCACCAGUCGAGAAACUCUGCAAUGCGCGAAAGCGCGACAGGGUUACCCGAGUGUCGUCCGCUGAGGACGACUUUUCCCAGUGUAGAUAGCUGGGGGAAUAAGGAGAGGGCAAGUCUGGUGUCAGCCGCCGCGGUAAUACCAGCUCUCCGAGUGGUGGGGACGCUUAUUGGGCCUAAAGCAUCCGUAGCCGGUCUAACAAGUCCCUUGUUAAAUCCAGCGAUUCAAUCGCUGGACUGCAAGGGAUACUGUUAGACUAGGGGGCGGGAGAGGCCGACGGUAUUCCUGGGGUAGGGUGAAAUCCUAUAAUCCCGGGAGGACCACCAGUGGCGAAGGCUGUCGGCUAGAACGCGCCCGACGGUGAGGGAUGAAAGUUGGGGGAGCGAACCGGAUUAGAUACCCCGGGUAGU